AUUGAACGCUGGCGGCAGGCCUAACACAUGCAAGUCGAACGAGUGGCGGACGGGUGAGUAAUGUCUGGUAAACUGCCCGAUGGAGGGGGAUAACUACUGGAAACGGUAGCUAAUACCGCAUACCAUCGGAUGUGCCCAGAUGGGAUGAGCUUGUAGGUGAGGUAACGGCUCACCUAGGCGACGAUCCCUAGCUGGUCUGAGAGGAUGACCAGCGACGAGGUAAUUGAGACACGGGCGCGCCGCCUAGGGGAGGCAGAAGUGGGGAAUAUUGAAGAAUGGGCGCAAGCCUGAUGCAGCCCUGCGGCGUGUAUGAAGAAGGACGUCGGGUUGUAAAGUACUUUCAGCGGGGAGGCUUUACCCGCAGAAGAAGCACCGGCUAACUCCGUGCCAGCAGCCGAGGUAAUUC
rnacentral:rRNA from 1 species